CCUACGGGAGGCAGCAGUGAGGAAUAUUGGUCAAUGGGCGGGAGCCUGAACCAGCCAAGUAGCGUGAAGGAUGACAGCCCUAUGGGUUGUAAACCUCUUUUAUAAGGGAAUAAAGUGCCCCACGGGGGGUGAUUUGUAUGUACCUUAUGAAUAAGCAUCGGCUAAUUCCGUGCCAGCAGCCGCGGUAAUACGGAAGAUGCGAGCGUUAUCCGGAUUUAUUGGGUUUAAAGGGUGCGUAGGCGGAUCCAUAAGUCAGCGGUAAAAUCGUGGGGCUCAACCCUACCGUGCCGUUGAAACUGUUGACCUUGAGUAUGCGAAGGGUACAUGGAAUGCGUGGUGUAGCGGUGAAAUGCAUAGAUAUCACGCAGAACUCCGAUCGCGAAGGCAUUGUACCGGAGCAAGACUGACGCUGAGGCUCGAAAGUGUGGGUAUCGAACAGGAUUAGAUACCCGUGUAGUC
rnacentral:rRNA from 1 species